rnacentral:rRNA from 1 species
GAUGAACGCUGGCGGCGUGCCUAAUACAUGCAAGUCGAGCGAACAGACGAGGAGCUUGCUCCUCUGACGUUAGCGGCGGACGGGUGAGUAACACGUGGAUAACCUACCUAUAAGACUGGGAUAACUUCGGGAAACCGGAGCUAAUACCGGAUAAUAUAUUGAACCGCAUGGUUCAAUAGUGAAAGACGGUUUUGCUGUCACUUAUAGAUGGAUCCGCGCCGCAUUAGCUAGUUGGUAAGGUAACGGCUUACCAAGGCAACGAUGCGUAGCCGACCUGAGAGGGUGAUCGGCCACACUGGAACUGAGACACGGUCCAGACUCCUACGGGAGGCAGCAGUAGGGAAUCUUCCGCAAAGGGCGAAAGCCUGACGGAGCAACGCCGCGUGAGUGAUGAAGGUCUUCGGAUCGUAAAACUCUGUUAUUAGGGAAGAACAAAUGUGUAAGUAACUAUGCACGUCUUGACGGUACCUAAUCAGAAAGCCACGGCUAACUGCGUG